rnacentral:rRNA from 1 species
GAUGAACGCUGGCGGCGUGCCUAAUACAUGCAAGUCGAGCGCAGCGGGGACGGGUGCGUAACACGUGGUAAACCUCCUUUAACAAUGGGGUAACGUCGGGAAACAGGUGCUAAACCGGCUACUCGUAUAUCGAUCCUCGCUGCAUUCGCUAGUUGGUAAGGUAACGGCUCACAAAGGCAACGCGGCAUAGCCGACCUGAGAGGGUGAUCGGCCACACGGGAACUGAGACACGGUCCAGACUCCUACGGGAGGCAGCAGUAGGGAAUCUUCGGCAAUGGGCGAAAGCCUGACGGAGCAACGCCGCGUGAGUGAUGAAGGUUUUCGGAUCGUAAAACUCUGUUAUUAGGGAAGCGGUAUCUAAUCAGAAAGCCACGGCUAACUACGUGCCAGCCGCCGCGGUAAUUC